rnacentral:lncRNA from 1 species
GGAGUAUGUAAGAAAUAGUUGGAAUUUAUGAUAUAUUUUUAAGUAAUACUCAACAGCACUUACUAGUGAAUUGGAUAUAGAAAUGUGAGGAGGAUGAAUCAAAGAUAAUGUCUUUAGUUUUGAACCUAAGAAGCUGAGUGAGAAAUGGUGUCAUUCAGUGAUAUGGUAGAGUCCAGAUAGGAUGUAUUCUUCAGGAUGGAACAUUUGGAGUUGUAAUGAAUUUCAGCAUGUAAUUUAUUAAUGAGUAUGCCAUAAUAACUAUUUUUGUAAUAACUUGAACUAAGUAUGCAGGAAUGGGUGUUAGGAUUUUCAGGUGAACUAAUAAGACUGAAUCACCUUUGUAUUUAAAUUCUUCUGGAAUAAGGACACCCUCUACAAGACUCAGGAAUAUGUCUUUUCUUUUUUUUUCCUUCAGUACGAGGGAUUGAACUCAGGACUUUGCACUUGUGAGGCAGGCACAGCGCCACUGAGCUAAAUCCAGUAAUAUGUGUUUUGUGUUCUUUUGGAGAUGCUACAAUAGAGAAUAUUUACAUACUAUAACAAUUCACUAAUUCAAGACACAAUUCCAGCAGUGUAUAAGCCCAAAUAGUACUCCUUGAUACACACACACACACACACAUACACACACACACACACACGAGACUUUAUAAUUAUGUUAUUAGUUGGUACUUACAUUUGAUGACUAGCUAUCUAUGGUAAGUUCAGAUGGGGGAAUCCUCUAGCACGUAAAUAUGUAUCAUUUAUAAAUAAGCACUUACACCCAGAUCUUGCCUUCAUUCCUGGAUCUAUACACUUAGCUGCCUAUUUGAUAUCUUCUAUGGGCUAUCUCAGAAAUAUCACAGAUUUCAACCUGUAUAAAAUUGAAUACAGAAUCUUUCCUUCCCAAAUCCAGUCCAGAUUUCACAAAUUUCUCUGAAAAUGUAACUAUUAUCUAACUAGUAAUGCAAAUUAGAAAUCCAGAAAUUGCCUUGAUUGCUCUCUCCAGUCUGUUAUUGGGUCCUGUUGAAUUUAUUUCCUGAUUAUCCUUUAAAUUUUACUGCAUUUUUUUUGCUAAUAAUAACUCCCUUAUUUUAAGUUUUUGUCAAUUGUAUAGCUACAAGUUGAUCUCACAUUUACUCUCCUGACCUGAAAUUCUUUUUGUUGUGUUGCCACACUCUUGUGAAAUAUAAAUGAUUCCGUCUGCACCCUAGCAGCAACAAACAACAUAAAUCUUACAACUCUUUAAAAACUUAGCAUUGCUUUUAGUAUUGUGUGCCCUACAAAGCUCUUCAUCUUUGGUUGUUCUACCCAGUUAGUGUUUCCUUCAUAUUCUGUGCCAACUCCAUUAUUCUUCCAGUACUUGUACCAUGUUACCAGUUACUAGGAUGGAGAUAAAAAUAAAUAGAAAUUCAAAAGACAUAGAUUCUAUCCUCUCUGCUUGAAGCACUCUUCCUCAUUUCACUAUGCCUGUUUACUGCUUAUAGUUUACAAGUGAGAAUGUCCCAAAGGAAGCUUGUUUUGAUUUUUGUGAUCAGGACAAACCUCACUGUUAUUUUCUCUUUCGGCUUACCCCUCCGUGCUGCUUAAUAUAGUUGACACUUGGAUUAUUUGAUUAAUGCCCGCCUCACUGCCUCAUUAUUGUGAAGUGUGUGAAGACAGAGAUGGUGUUUGUGUUUUCUAGUUGAUCUUUAGCACUCAGCAUAGUGCACUUGGUAAGGACUCAGUUUGUUGGAUAAAUGUAAAUUAAAUAAAAUGUAAAGAACACAUUAAAAAGUUUGGUUUAAAUGAAAGAACUUGAUAUUUUUGUAUCAAGUCUCAUUAAAGGCCUUAUGUGUAUUAUGUGAUAGUCUUCACUAGAACUAUGUAUAGUAAUUGAUGAUACAUACUUUAAUAGAUGAGGAAACUGAGGAUCAGAGAUUGAUUUACUCAGGGCUCCUCAUUUCUAAGUGGUAAAAGAAAAUUUUGACCCCAUCUGUUUUACUCUAAAGCCAUGAUUUUUAUUAUUUCAAAUAUUAAUCAUCAAAUAACAUCAAUUAAAUAUUAAUCUUAAAGAAUUAGUGAUACUAUAAUUCUCAAAUUGCUUUGGAAAUUAUGUCUAUUCAGGAGAAUGAAAAUAAUUAUUUAAUUUUGUAUACUCUGCUACCAGUUCAUUAACAUUAUCUCCCAUGAUCUUACACCCACCUUGUGGGAAACAUUUGUCAACAAAUUUACAGGUAAAGAAACCUAGACUUUAGGUGAUAUCACCAAAGGUCACAGAGUGAGGCUAAUCUGAGCUUGUGGCCUUAACAAAUACUUAACAUUAUUGAUUUGAAUUAGAAUUAAGAUAACUUACUUAAGAGAAAGGCCUGGAUAAAAUUACAAAUUUCAUUAUUACAACUUAGAUUAUUAAGCUUUAACUAUGUUCAUUAUGUUGUUUUGUGUACUAUACUGUCAAGAUGCCUAUAGCUAUCAUAAAGAUAAAAUGAUCAUGGGAAUGGUGGGAAUACUGUUAUCACCUUAUAAGAUGAUGUCUCAAUAUUAAGAGGUCGUGGGCACAGUGUUCACUUAGCAACCAAGAAGAUCAGCUUUGCUAGAGCAGUUAACUUUUUUUGAGUUUUGAUUGAGUAGUGGAGCAGUGUCCUUGCAGAGUUGUUUAGAACAUUGUGUAGGGCCUUGAGGUCCAAAGAGAGCUACUAACAGCUUUUUAGAAAAAAAUGAAUGAAAAUAUGGAACUAUUAUAUAUAACAUGACAGCUUUGGAAGGUUUUGUAAUACAGUUUAAGGGACCAAAGUGUCCAGUUACAUAGCUAUAAGAUUAACUUAAUUCAAUAGAUUUGCUUUCUUUCAAGUCUGCAGUUAUCUUCAAGCUUCAAAUUGCUUAUAACCUGAAAUUGUUAGAACUGAAUUUUUUAGUUCCAUUAUUCAGAUAGGCGAAUAGCAUUCACAUUAAGGAAAAGCCAGCUACUUUUUUUUUACUUAAAAGUUUGCACAAAUGCACCUUGAAUACUUUCCCAGUAGAAGGAACAACACAAAACAUUCAGACCAAAAUAUGAAAAUUAUCCUGCAUCAAGAUUUUAUUGUUUCAUGUUCUCAUUCAUAUAUGCCUAGAUAAAAACAUACUCUGUAGCUGUCUUUCUACAACUUUUCUCUCAGUACUUUAUAUAAGCUGUCUCAACAUACACAGGUUUAUCUACCCUUUUUACAAUUGCAUUAUACUUUGUAGAUAUGCCAAGAUUUAUUCAAUCACUGUUACACUGAGAGGCAUUUGGGUUAUUUAUGUUUUUCACUGUUCUACAUAGUGUAGCAAAUGAUCAUUUCUGUAUAUAAUGUCUUUGUGCUCAACUACCAGUUUUCCUAUAAGAAAUAGAUUCCUGUGCAGAGGAUUGUAUUUUUAAAAUUUUUAUAUAUUCUGCCAAAUUACUUUUCAGAAAGUCUGCUAGUACUGUUUUUAAUAUUUAUAAAUCCAGUUAUUAAAAAGUUACUUUGUUUUCACUUAUAUGUCUUCAAUCACAAAUAAAA